rnacentral:tRNA from 1 species
GAGGGUGUAGCUCAGUGGUAAAGCACAUGCUUAGCAUGCACGAAGUCCUGGGUUCAAUCCCCAGUCUCUCCA